rnacentral:rRNA from 1 species
CUCCUACGGGAGGCAGCAGUCGGGAAUUUUGGGCAAUGGGCGAAAGCCUGACCCAGCAACGCCGCGUGAAGGAUGAAGUAUUUCGGUAUGUAAACUUCGAAAGAAUAGGAAGAAUUAAUGACGGUACUAUUUAUAAGGUCCGGCUAACUACGUGCCAGCAGCCGCGGUAAUACGUAGGGACCAAGCGUUGUUCGGAUUUACUGGGCGUAAAGGGCGCGUAGGCGGCGUGACAAGUCACUUGUGAAAUCUCUGGGCUUAACCCAGAACGGCCAAGUGAAACUGUUGUGCUAGAGUGCGGAAGGGGCAAUCGGAAUUCUCGGUGUAGCGGUGAAAUGCGUAGAUAUCGAGAGGAACACCUGAGGUGAAGACGGGUUGCUGGGCCGACACUGACGCUGAUGCGCGAAAGCCAGGGGAGCAAACGGGAUUAGAUACCCCGGUAGUCCUGGCCCUAAACGAUGAAUACUUGGUGUCUGGAGUUAUUAGUGCUCCGGGUGCCGUCGCUAACGUUUUUAGU